rnacentral:lncRNA from 1 species
AAAAAUGGCCGUUUAAUACGUGAACUUCUUAUAUGGCCAAAUUAAACAUAAAUUUAAUGUUGACCGGCCAUUUUAACUAAAUGUAUUCGUUGACCAGGCCAAAACGCCAAACCGUUAACAGUCACUAACAGAGCCGAUAACGGCAGUUUACACUCGUUAACAAUUCCGUUAUUAGUCAAAACGGCGUCGUUUCAGACCUAAUCUAAACCUUCAAAAUCCCCAAUUUCAUUCUCAAAUUCCUAAUUCUCAUCAUCAACCUCACCAUUCAUAAUCUUCUUCUUCAUCUUCUUAUCUUCUCCAUUACUAACAACAGCCGCGUUAGAAACAACACGACGAAUCGAAACAGCACUAACCAUAUCUUUAUUACUAACAAGUCCCAUCCCAUGGAGAAGACGACGACGACGCUCAGAUAUCGAUCCCGGAGCAGCCAUCCAAAUAUCGUAAUCAGGAGACAUCGCCAGCGUACGCAAUUUCCUUGACGCGGUGGUUAAGGAAGAAACGGCGGAGGAAAACGAGAGACGACAAUCGUCAAAAUCUUCAUCUUCAUCGGAAGAAGAAGCAGCAGACAUGUCAAAAGCUAGAGCUGAAGAGAGACGAUCAUGAGUUUCGAAGAAUCUAUCAUCAUCUUCAUCUUCAAAAUCUCCUAAUCCUUCCCAGUUCAUCGUCAUUGUCUUCUUCCGAUCCAAUUUGUUUCCAUCUUCCAUCAUUUUUCAUAAACGAAAAUGAAAUCAAAAAGUUUGGCAGAUCAUUGUUGAUUCAGAGGCACCGUUAUGGAAUGAUGGGCAAACCGGGAAUUAUGGAGGAAAGUGUUGAAGACGUGUUUUGUCUCUUUGUAAGACAUCGAUCUCUUCACGUUCAGUUUCAUUACCGAAACUAAUUAAAAUGUUUUAAUGAUGAUUUUAAUCAAGAUCUUAAUUGUCUCAAAGGUUUAGAUUUUGAAAAUUAGGGAUUUGAGAAUGAAAUUGGGGAUUUUCAAGGUUUAGAUUAGGUCUGAAACGACGCCGUUUUGACUAAUAACGGAAUCGUUAACGAGUGUAAACGGUCGUUAUCGGCUCUGUUAGUUACUGUUAACGGUUUGGCGUUUUGGCCUGGUCAACGAAUACAUUUAGUUAAAAUGACCGGUCAACAUUAAGUUUAUGUUUAAUUUGGCCAUAUAAGAAGUUCACGUAUUAAACAGCCAUUUUUUUAAAGUUCGGCUAUUAAACGACAUUUUUCCCAAAAAAAAAUCGUAUAAUGUUUUGUUUUUCUUACAUUUUGGAAAAUGUGACAUCACUUGGCCAAUCCAAACCUUCUUCAGCGGUUUUUCUUUGUCAGAGUUGUUUUUACUGAAAAACAAAAAUAAUUUUUUUAAAAACUAUGAUUUAUCGUUUUAUUUACCUUUAUCAUAUUCGAAAUAUCAAAGAAACUUUGUGUAAUCCACAUCUAAAUUAAAUAUUAGACUAAUGAAUUAAAUGCAACAAAAUUUAAACGGGAAUCACAAUAACAUUUUUUAAUAGUAAUAUUGUACCUACAAGUUUAUUGAAUCAAAGAAGAUGCAUAUAAUUAGUAAACUCCAACUAUACAUGAAUCACCUACAACAUGAAUCUGUGCAAUUCACGUUGUGAGCAUUGAUGUUUUAUACAACCUCAAAACAGAGAGUCUUCACAAAAGCCUCCACGUUCUUGUCCGAACUUCCUCCUUCUCCACCUGCUUCAAUCGCUAAACGCUUCCAUUUCUCUGCGCUUUCCCUCAGCUCCUCAGAUUUCUCCUCCAUCACUGCUUCCAAACACCGCUUUAUCUCUCCUCUCUCCACUAAACCUUCCGAGUUCUCUCUCACCCUCACACCUGUCUUCCAUAUUUUUUCCAAAAGCUUCGCAUUCGCUGGUUGAUCCGACCACAUCGGAAACGCCACCACUGGAACGCCGAGAACCAAACUCUCCAGCGAUGAGCUCCACCCACAAUGAGUCACAAAACAACUUACGGCUCGGUGUCUCAAAACCUCUAUCUGCGAACACCACGACACAAUCAUCCCAACCUCUUCAAGCUCAUGUCUGAAACUUGCUAUCUUUUCAAUCUCUGUCUCUUCUUCUCCUUCGAUUUUUGCUUCUCUGUUGAGUUUAUUGGUUAUAACCCACAAGAACGGUCUUUUCCCUUCUAUGAGUGCUCUCGCUAGUUCCUCUAUUUGUUUCUUGGACAACUCAACCAUUGUUCCAAAAGAAACAUAAAUAACAGAGGACUCUGUUUUCGAGUCUAACCAAAGUUUAUAACUACUACUUUGAUCUCUUGAUAAAUCUUUACCUGAUUCGCUUCCAGUGAAAAUCUCCGCAGGAAGUAAAGGACCAACUGCCACCAUUUCU